rnacentral:RNase_P_RNA from 1 species
GCGCGAUGGCAGAUGAUCGCUGGUGAGUCGUUAGACUUACUGGAGGAAAGUCCGAACACCAUACGGCAGCAUGCCGCGUAGAACACGCGGGCGUCGCAGUUGUAAAAUUGCGGCGACGGAAAGUGUCGCAGAAAAGACACCGCCGGUUCUUUGGCAACAACGUUCAGGUAAGGGUGAAAUGGCGAGGUAAGAGCUCACCGCGUCCCGCGUAAGCGGGACGGCAGGAAAAACCCCAUGCGGUGCAAGACAAAACAGAGGGAGGGCAGCCGGUCCGCCGAUCCUCGGGUAUCGUCGCAUCACGAGGCGUGAAAGCGCGUCGGGCGGCUCACGCGAGUGAGUUGAGAUAAAUGAUCAUCGCUUCGGAGAAAUUCGGAGGACAGAAUUCGGCUUACCGCCAUCAAGAUGAA